CUCUGACCAGAGAAUACAAAUUACUUGUUUCAACUCCAAAAACUAAAUACAUUUACAAAAAAACCCACAAAAAUAAUAGUGAUUCUACAAGCCUGAUGUAAAUUACAAUAAUCCAUAUUCCGAAAGUAGCAUUGCUUUGCAACAUAGGUGACUACGGAAACAAGUAGGAAAAAGUAGAAAUAAGGGCAAGGAUGCAUGGGAGGAGCUCCAAAAGUCAAGGAUCAUUGCCAGGCAGCUUGCUUAGAACUAUAUGUUCUGGUUUAUGGUCACAUUCGAAAUCAAGAUGAACAAAUGCUCUCUCAACCUCGGUCAAUUUCUCAAUCUUAUUUUGCAAAGUCUCACCAAUAACAUGUGCUUCCUUUAGUGGCAGUUCUUCCGGGAGUUCAAUAUCUACCUGUAUCAAGGUAGCACAAACUGUUACAUGCUUAAAGAAAAGGAUGCGCUAAAACUUGUAACGAGUUCCAUAUAGCAUAACCAACCUCUACAAAAUAAAGAACACCAAAGGUGUAGGCUCGGAUCAUCUCAAUGCGCUGGACUAGAGGAUGCCUGAUAACAAGAUAUGUCAACUUCUGCAGGAAUUCAGGAGGUGCAGAUUGUCCAACAAGUGAAACUGCAUAAAAAGGUGCAUGAAUGGUUAGAAAACUUGGUGUAUUCAAGGAGGACUAUAUUGGUGAAGAAGGUACCUGCGUUUUCCACAACAGUUCCAGACCAAUUUAUAAUUGUGUAAACUGCAAGGAGGAUGGCACCUGCAGGGUCGAUCCACCAGUAGAACUUAUUGCCAAGAACGGCUGCAAUCAAUCCUACUAUAUUCGUUACUACAUCGAAAUAGUGAUCCUGAACAUUAGCAUUUGAUUUAGUUAGAACUGGUGACAACAAGUCCAGAACUAAAAGACACCAAGCUUUUUCAGUGACAAGGUCAGGAACAAAACCUUUGCAUAGGCACGGACAAUCUCAUUUCUUGAACUUCUGCAGUAUAACCAAAGGGCAAGCUUUACUGCCGUUGCACUUAGCAUUAUUGCAUAUAACCACAAUAACUGAUUAGAAGACAUUUUCUCAGUAGGUUUGUGUUGAAUUAGUUGUUCGACGGCCUGUAUCAAAAUCUGAAACCCUGUAAGGAAAUGAAUCAGAAUGACAAACCCUGUUCUAUGAAGAAAUCAAUUUGCCAUUCACAUUAGGUUAGUUUUUCUGUUCCUAGUUCUAGCUCCUUGUUUUGCCAAGUUAUCACUCACCAUGAAAUCAAACAUGUCAAGAUGCAAAAUUUCCACGUUACAAACAAAGUUGUAUCGAAAGAAACUAAAAGGAUAUAUAGAUUUGUUACGCAAAAGGAAUAAAAAAAGAAAAAUUUGCUAGUUGCAGCUGGUUAACAUACCAAGUGUAGCCAUGAUAGCAGCAAAGAUAACUAUCCCCACUGGCUGCACCCUCAAUUUUCCAAUAGGAUACUUGUAGAUAUUUAUUUUUUUCAUUGACAAGUGAGUGAACCAAAGAAUGCCACCAGCCAUAAGAUCAAGCAGAGAAUCCAGCGUCGACGCUGCUAUGGCCAAAGAUCCAGUCUUUAUAGUAGCAUAUAUCUGCACACUAUGCAUAUCUCCAUCUUUAACAAUUGGAAUAAGAGAUUGAUCACACAGGCCAAAACAAAUUUUUUAACAAAAUUAAGUGCAGAAAAAGAAGAAACUAAAACAUUUUGGAGUUUGAUUGACCUUGGAGAACCAAAUGGUGAUAAAACUACACCUUAAAUGCCAGCAAUACUAUGUUUGCAUAGUUAGAUAUCUUCAUAGCCUUUUCAUGUCGAGCUUGCUCUUCAUCAUCAUCCUCAUUGUCUUUGUCAUUUCCCAUUAGAAUAUCAACAUCCUCAAAGGAUUUCAGCGUAUCCAUUUGCUUUUCAUAAUAUUCCUUUUCCCCUGUAAGAAGAUUGAAACAACAAAACAUUCAAAAACUAGUGCAAAGAGUCAAAAAAGCUCUGUUCUUGGAUUGAAGAACUAGUGAGUAUGCAACCUUGAAUAAUUAUCACAUACCAAGGACCGAUUACCUUCUGUUAAGCCUGUUGUUUUGGAUAAAUUGAUCUGAUAAGGGGACUCAGUAUCCAGGCCAGAUCUUACCUUAUCAGGCAAUUUUGCCACAAAAUUAGACCUCAGCGAGUUCACUGAAUUCCUUCUACUCAGUCUCCUGCUUCUUCUUCCUUCACCCAUCAACAAUGGUGUUUUUGGGCCAGAACCUGAAUUCCCCUCCAUCUGGUUCCAAACAAUUGAUUCCAGUUCCAGCAGAAAUAUCUAUAAAUAUAGGUAUAUCUUUUGCUGAUAUUUUUGUACAAAGAGGCGGCAUGAAGAUGCUCGCCUUGAUGCUUAAAAACUAGGAUAUGAUGCUAUUAGUAGCUGUUGAUUUUUUUAGCGGUAUAUGCCUUCGCGAGUUUUGACUAUUGCAGAAUACUUUAGGAACAUACCCAGAAUGUCAAUUACUUGUGCAAGAUUUUUUCGCCCUUUUUUUUUUUUUUAGUUUAACGUGGGUGUCCGGACCAGCUUGCGCGUACCUCGAUUAAUCCCACGGGCCCUAAAAUUAACGACCAUGUAAGCCUCCAGUGACCAUCAUAUGAGCAACCACAGGGCUCGAACCUGAGAUCACAGAAUAAGCAAACCUCUUGGUCCAAACUCUUACCACUGGGCCACCAUCUAGAUGGUUUUUUUUUUUCAUUCUUUUUCCUGAUAAGAGGUCAUGGACCCCGAAAACAGUUCAUUUUUAUUUUCAUAUUUACCCUUUAAAGUCCAACAUCAAGUUUUACAUAAAAAAAAAUAUAGAAUAUUAAUUUAAUAUCGGUCCCUGCCCAUGUGAUUUAAAGAGAGAAAAAUAAAAGAACAUGCAACAUAAAAUUCUAUCGAAUUUAGUCACACCACAAACUUUUAAUCAAAGACUAGCUAAAAUAUUUGGCCUAGGAGAAAUUUUGGUAAAGAAUAUUAAUGACAAACCCAAACAAAAGUAGCUAUAAGAAAGUAGGCGUUCAAGUUCCACUACAAAGAUUGUACUUUUAUUGUUUGAGGAAAGUAACAAGAAGAAUGCAUAAAAUGGCACAGUGAAAGUGCUAGAAGAACCAUCAGCCAAAGCAUGUCAACCAAACAUGUAUAACAUCAACUUAACUAUUGUGGAUCAAACUAGCUGUCUGCCCUGUUUAAAACGCUACAAGUACCUCAUUAUACAAAAGUAGGGUUCCCUUGUUGUAUAGUCUUCAUUCAAUUCCUUAACUGGAUAAACUGAUUCACCAUGAAAGGGAAACACUGGAUCCCAGGUUUGUAACCUUUUACGAGACAAAUGAAACCAACGCCAACUCUGACUACGCAUUUGCACAUGAUGUUAUCUAUCUAUAUAUAGACCAAUGCUAACUGUUGGGUAACCUGCUGAGAACAGAGUGCUCUGGUUUGUGCUCACAUUCAAAAUCAAGAUGAACGAAUGCCCGCUCAACUUCUGGGAGUUUCUCAAUCUUGUUCUGCAAUGUCUCUCCAAUGGUGUGUGCUUCCUUUAGAGGCAGCUCUUCUGGAAGUUCAAUGUCAACCUGUUCCAAGACGUGAAAUAUAAUGAUAAAUUUUUAUUGGCUCAUUCUUAAACAACAGAAGUAGAGAUGAUUUAUAACUGAAUUGUUGCUUAAACAUGAAUCCUUUAUUUUUGUAUUGACAAUAAUUCUUCAAGUUUAUAACUUAAAAAAUUUCGACUGGAUACAGCAGCACUCUCUCCUUUUGGUCCCAUUAUUUUUUUUUCAUCCCUCCAUACAAAACCCUUUUCCCCUUCCAUUACAAAAAAAAUAAUUCUUUCACCAUCAUUAUUAAUUAUAGUUCAUUAGCAUAUGAAAAGUAUAAUUUAUAGUUAUUUAUCAAGUAAUAUCACUUACCAAACCCUAGGAUCCUAUUUGCAUGACCUACCCCAUAUUGCUUUUUUAUUGUACAAGAAGCCUAAUGUUGGCUUAAUUAGUCCUCUGAUUAACAGCAAAUUCAAAGGCUCUGUAACAGCCUCUGACCAGAGAAUACAAAUUACUUGUUUCAACUCCAAAAACUAAAUAAAUUUACAAAAAAACCCACAAAAAUAAUAGUGAUUCUACAAGCCUGAUGUAAAUUACAAUCAUCCAUACUCCGAAAGUAGCAUUGCUUUGCAACAUAGGUGACUACGGAAACAAGUAGGAAAAAGUAGAAAUAAGGGCAAGGAUGCAUGGGAGGAGCUCCAAAAGUCAAGGAUCAUUGCCAGGCAGCUUGCUUAGAACUAUAUGUUCUGGUUUAUGGUCACAUUCGAAAUCAAGAUGAACAAAUGCU
rnacentral:lncRNA from 1 species